rnacentral:rRNA from 1 species
UACGUAGGGGGCAAGCGUUGUCCGGAUUUAUUGGGCGUAAAGAGCGUGUAGGCGGUUAGGUAGGUCCGCUGUGAAAACCCGAGGCUCAACCUCGGGACGUCGGCGGAAACCCUCUGGCUAGAGUCCGGAAGAGGAGAGUGGAAUUCCUGGUGUAGCGGUGAAAUGCGCAGAUAUCAGGAAGAACACCCGUGGCGAAGGCGGCUCUCUGGGACGGUACUGACGCUGAGACGCGAAAGCGUGGGAGCGAACAGGAUUAGAU